ensembl:lncRNA
ACAGUGUGGCAGGAAUGCUGUGAUGCCACCACCAUGUGAUGACAGUGCCAUCGGUGGUGACUCCCAUUUUGCUGGACUCUUAUUUCUUUCCUAGCUCUCCCGCAUGGCAGACUGCUAAGAUAGAGCUGACACAUGAUGCAGAAUUAAGGGUACUUCUUGCCCAUAGCCUGCAGGGAACCAUGUCCUAUUAUCAACCCCAUGAGGAAGCUUGGAGCAACAGAAAAAACAACCAAGAUGCUGUUGUGGUGGUGCUUUCCUAAAAGCCCAGCGCUUUGAAGGUGGAGGCGGAAUCGUCCAAGGUCAUUUCCACUGUAUUUUGUGCUUGGGGGCGACUUGAACUAUUAUUCUUUUUCUAAAGCAGUCUCGCUUCCUGACACUGCCUGUAUGCAGAAGCUGGCCACGGCUCUGGCAGACUUCAGCUUUUCCACCGUAUCUCUGCUCUACGAACAUUUUUCUUCUACGCAUGCUGUUGGCUGUGGGUUUCAUUGCAAAGUACAGCAUGCCUUCGUCACG